rnacentral:rRNA from 1 species
AGAGUUUGAUCAUGGCUCAGGACGAACGCUGGCGGCGUGCCUAACACAUGCAAGUCAGGGAGAAAAGGGUAGCAAUAUCCUGAGUAAACCGGCGAACGGGUGAGUAACACGUAGGCAACUUACCUUGUGGACGGGGAUAACCCCGGGAAACCGGGGGCUAAUACCCGAUGAUAUCCUCUUACGGCAUUGCGAGAGGAUCAAAGGUCCGAAAGGACGUCACAAGAGAGGCCUGCGUCCCAUUAGAUGGUUGGCGGGGUAACGGCCCACCAAGUCAACGAUGGGUAGCUGGUCUGAGAGGACGACCAGCCACACUGGAACUGAGACACGGUCCAGACUUCUACGGAAGGCAGCAGUGAGGAAUAUUGCUCAAUGGGCGAAAGCCUGAAGCAGCGACGCCGCGUGAGGGAUGAAAUCCGUUAGGAUGUAAACCUCUUUUGCAGGGGAAGAAUGUCCCCGAUUUAUCGGGGAUUGACGGUACCCUGCGAAUAAGGAUCGGCCAACUACGUGCCAGCAGCCGCGGUAAUACGUAGGAUCCGAGCGUUGUCCGGAAUUACUGGGUGUAAAGGGUCCGCAGGCGGGCAAGCAAGUCGGUGGUGAAAGUUCACGGCUCAACCGUGAAAUUGCCUUCGAUACUGCUUGUCUUGAGUUCGAGAGAGGAUGAUGGAAUUCAUGGUGUAGCGGUGAAAUGCGUAGAGAUCAUGAAGAACACCAGUAGCGAAGGCGGUCAUCUGGCUCGAUACUGACGCUCAGGGACGAAAGCGUGGGUAGCAAACAGGAUUAGAUACCCUAGUAGUCC